CUUUUUUCUUUUAGGAUUAUGAACAUGCAUGCAAAGUUUUCCAAAUCUGAUAUAUUGUAAAAGGUGUCUGAAACAGAAAGCCAACAGUGCAACUGCAGCCAGGAAGACCAAACCAAUGCAAUCCCAACAUGUUCUAGUCAA